GAGAGCUCCAGAGUAAGAGCAAAAUUGAUUUGGGGAACAUUGGAGAUCCCUUCACAUUUCUAAAACCUGACACAUUAAAGGAAUUUGAGGAUUCAUGCCAUUUGAGUCCUAUAGUUGUGAGAAAACCAGGGCACUUUAUCUUAUAUCUUGACAUAUUCUUUCUUUCUCUCCUAAUAGCAUAGAUAGAUAUGGAAUAAAAUUGGUUCAUGAAUUUGGAUUGUUCCAUAAUGAAUUCCUCUAACAUUCAGUGAAUGCUACAAAGCACACGUUCUCCACUAUGUACUACACAUUGUAGCCACAUUCGAUGAAUGUAACAGGUCCAACAAAUAUGGAAAAAUGUGAAGGAGCCAUUGGAAUGGCAUCUGGUUGGCCAGCGUGACAUGCCACAGAGGGGAUGGAUGUUACGUUAUUGAAGGCAAUAUGACAGUUUGUCCUGAUAUUUGAAAGAUGGGAGAUCGUGUAUUUCAUUCCUAAGCUGAAGGCUUCCUGAGCUGUAGAACAUCAGUGUCUCUGCCCAACUAUAGAGUGGCAUAGCAGUGAGAUCAUAUUUGGAAGAAGCUGAUAUGUGUUCCCAGGAGUUUCACAUCUUCUUCCUGUUGGGGAGGUUGGCAGGAGAGACCCAUAAGACCCUAGUGAGGAGGUAAGUCAGUCAGUGGGGAGGGGCUGAUGCUUUGGACGCCCAAGGGUCCAUGAGCUUCCUGUUGGCUGAGUGAAGG